rnacentral:lncRNA from 1 species
UGAGAGGAGGGGUGGGAAAGUUUGAGAGAGAGAGAGGCAACAUCAUUGAAAGAGAAGAUAGUCCGAGUGAGUGUUUGAGAGAGAAUAACUGAAAACAUUUAGGCUGAAAGGGGAGGGACUGCCUAGUCCUUUUUCAAACAAGUUUGUGGAGAAACUUGGAGAAGCUCUUUGGCUGCUUGGAAGAAGAGGCAAGGGGCUAUGUUAAGUGAGAGAGCAGCUCGGAGGCAGGGGUAGGGGUGCAAAACCGAAGGAGAAAGGGGAUAAAUGACAUUUUGAUCUAAAGGAAAUCAUGCGAGUGAAUGCUGCCUCAUCCAGUGUCAGAUUUCACAAAAUGAAAAACCAGUGCAAGAGCACUUCUACAGGGCUCAUCCAGCUGAGAAAGAGGUCCAUUGUUCUGAGUUUAGAACAGUGACAGCAGGUCUUUGAGCAGGACACGGCCAUAUCGCCCUCUUACAGGAACCUACUGGGGCCCACAGACUGCUGCCAUGGACAAGCUGCUGUGGUUACCAUGGCGACACAGUCCGAAUGUGUCCUGCUGUGUUAGUGAAGGAAUUCCUGAUGUGCUCUGGUGUAUUGUCUGAGAGGUAAGGCAAGCCUAAAGCUUUAGUCAUUAUCACACUAAGGCUUCAUCUGUAGCCCACACUCACCAUACACAUACAUGCAUGCAGGCAUGCACUCACGCAUGCACACACACCAUCCAAGACCAUAUCAAAAUACUGUCAGGACAGCGUAGCCUGUUAAGUUCCAC